rnacentral:rRNA from 1 species
UGGGGAAUAUUGGACAAUGGGGGGAACCCUGAUCCAGCCAUGCCGCGUGUGUGAAGAAGGCCUUAUGGUUGUAAAGCACUUUAAGCGAGGAGGAGGGUACUGGUAUUAAUACUACCAGGUACUGGACGUUACUCGCAGAAUAAGCACCGGCUAACUCUGUGCCAGCAGCCGCGGUAAUACAGAGGGUGCGAGCGUUAAUCGGAUUUACUGGGCGUAAAGCGUGCGUAGGCGGCUAAUUGAGUCGGAUGUGAAAUCCCCGAGCUUAACUUGGGAAUUGCAUUCGAUACUGGUUAGCUAGAGUGUGGGAGAGGAUGGUAGAAUUCCAGGUGUAGCGGUGAAAUGCGUAGAGAGCUGGAGGAAUACCGAUGGCGAAGGCAGCCAUCUGGCCUAACACUGACGCUGAGGUACGAAAGCAUGGGGAGCAAACAGG